rnacentral:rRNA from 1 species
UACGGGGGGGGCAAGCGUUGUUCGGAAUUACUGGGCGUAAAGGGCUCGUAGGUGGCCAACUAAGUCGGACGUGAAAUCCCUCAGCUUAACUGGGGAACUGCGUCCGAUACUGGAUGGCUUGAGUUUGGGAGAGGGAUGCGGAAUUCCAGGUGUAGCGGUGAAAUGCGCAGAUAUCAGGUGGAACACCGAUGGCGAAGGCAGUGUUCUGGGCCAGUACUGACGCUGAGGAGCGAAAGCGUGGGGAGCAAACAGG